CUGUGGUCAGUGCUGUGGUCAGUGCUGUGGUCAGUUCUGUGGUCAGUGCUGUGGUCAGUGCUGUGGUCAGUUCUGUGGUCAGUGCUGUGGUCAGUGCUGUGGUCAGUUCUGUGGUCAGUGCUGUGGUCAGAGCUGUGGUCAGUGCUCUGGUCACUUGUUUCAGGUGUGGUCACUGCUGUGGUCAGUUGUUUCAGGUGUGGUCACUGCUGUGGUCAGUUGUUUCAGGUGUGGUCACUGCUGUGGUCAGUUGUUUCAGGUGUGGUCACUGCUGUGGUCAGUUGUUUCAGGUGUGGUCAGUUGUUUCAGGUGUGGUCACUGCUGUGGUCAGUUGUUUCAGGUGUGGUCACUGCUGUGGUCAGUUGUUUCAGGUGUGGUCAGUUGUUUCAGGUGUGGUCACUUGUUUCAGGUGUGGUCACUGCUGUGGUCACUUGUUUCAUCUGUGGUCAGUGCUGUGGUCACUGCUGUGGUCAGUUGUUUCAGGUGUGGUCACUGCUGUGGUCAGUUGUUUCAGGUGUGGUCAGUUGUUUCAGGUGUGGUCACUGCUGUGGUCAGUUGUUUCAGGUGUGGUCAGUUGUUUCAGGUGUGGUCACUGCUGUGGUCAGUUGUUUCAGGUGUGGUCACUGCUGUGGUCAGUUGUUUCAGGUGUGGUCAGUUGUUUCAGGUGUGGUCAGUGCUGUCCAGGCUUGCCCGUGGCAGGGUCUGACCCAGCUCCUUCCCAUCCCUCUUGGGCAGGACCUGGUUCUGUGUCCUGGGGGGGUUCCCUGGGCCUGCCCUGACAUCCAGAACGUUCUCUGAGGCUUCUGCCCCUCUCCUUUCUGCCUGCAGCCCUGAGAGGCCCUGCCAGAGCCUGGCCAGGUGCCUGGGAGCAGCUCCCACUCUCAGGAGGGGGCU